GACGAACGCUGGCGGCGUGCCUAAUACAUGCAAGUCGAGCGAAUCGAUGGGAGCUUGCUCCCUGAGAUUAGCGGCGGACGGGUGAGUAACACGUGGGCAACCUGCCUAUAAGACUGGGAUAACUUCGGGAAACCGGAGCUAAUACCGGAUACGUUCUUUUCUCGCAUGAGAGAAGAUGGAAAAGACGGUUUACGCUGUCACUUAUAGAUGGGCCCGCGGCGCAUUAGCUAGUUGGUGAGGUAAUGGCUCACCAAGGCGACGAUGCGUAGCCGACCUGAGAGGGUGAUCGGCCACACUGGGACUGAGACACGGCCCAGACUCCUACGGGAGGCUG
rnacentral:rRNA from 1 species